rnacentral:rRNA from 1 species
GAUGAACGCUGGCGGCGUGCCUAAUACAUGCAAGUCGAGCGAAUGGAUUGAGAGCUUGCUCUUAUGAAGUUAGCGGCGGACGGGUGAGUAACACGUGGGUAACCUGCCCAUAAGACUGGGAUAACUCCGGGAAACCGGGGCUAAUACCGGAUAACAUUUUGAACCGCAUGGUUCGAAAUUGAAAGGCGGCUUCGGCUGUCACUUAUGGAUGGACCCGCGUCGCAUUAGCUAGUUGGUGAGGUAACGGCUCACCAAGGCAACGAUGCGUAGCCGACCGGGGAGGGUGAUCGGCCACACUGGGACUGAGACACGGCCCAGACUCCUACGGGAGGCAGCAGUAGGGAAUCUUCCGCAAUGGACGAAAGUCUGACGGAGCAACGCCGCGUGAGUGAUGAAGGCUUUCGGGUCGUAAAACUCUGUUGUUAGGGAAGAACAAGUGCUAAUUGAAUAAGCUGGCACCUUGACGGUACCUAACCAGAAAGCCACGGCUAACUACGUGCCAGCCGCCGCAGUAA